rnacentral:snoRNA from 1 species
GACUUCUCAUUGAGCUUCUUUCUCUCUAUUGGUGGCAGCUUAUGGAUUCAUAUGAGAAGAGAGAAUUCACAGAACUAGGAUUACUUUUGCCUUCUGUCUUUACAAAGGUAUAUUUGGCUGUUUUGUGAGAUAUUC